rnacentral:rRNA from 1 species
AACUUCUGGUCUGUCAAACUCGCUCGUCGAUUCUAAGAAUUGAUUGUUGCGAUUGGUUUGUGGAUCAUCAUUUUUAGAAAGGUCUUCUGCCCUUGAUUGGGUGUGUUGCCCGAUCUAAAGCAUUUACUGUGAGCAAAUGGGAGUGUUCAAAGCAAGCUUUAUAAUAUGCUUGAACCGUUUAGCAUGGAAUAAUGAAAUAUAACUCUAGUUACAUUUCGUUGGCUUAAUAUAUUGGAGUAAUGAUAGAAAGGGAUAGUUGGGGGUGCUCAUAUUCAGGGGGUAGCGGUGAAAUGCAUUGAUCCUCUGAAGAUGAACUAAUGCGAAAGCAUU